rnacentral:lncRNA from 1 species
CAUUGAUAGACCCCUCAUGUGUUAUUUUAUUCUUUAAAUGCAGAAGAUAGCCCUGUGAGAUGGGUUUAGCAAUCUACAUGUCACAGGGGAGGAGCAUGAGGUUCAGAGACGCUGAGUAAUGUGCCCACAGACUCUCAGCUGGCAUAGAAAGCUGGGGGUUUAGCCUCCAGGUUCUGUGUUCUCAACACUGUCCGGGUGUCUCCUAGCAGAUACAUUGACGUCCUGAUGUUUGUAUCUGCAGUUGAAAACUUGUCUUCUAGAAACCCAUGAACUCUGGCAUCCUCACUGCUGCGCGGAUACACCGGGACGCCCCCUCAGCCGCGACAGUAACGGCCUCCGGCCACCAGGGGGCGGCCAGGGCGCGCUGCGGAUACACCGGGACGCCCCCUCAGCCGCGACAGUAACGGCCUCCGGCCACCAGAGGGCGGCCAGGGCGCGCUGCGGAUACACCGGGACGCCCCCUCAGCCGCGACAGUAACGGCCUCCGGCCACCAGGGGGCGGCACACGGCGCCUCAAACUGUAAACGGCUCCGGGCUUCGGAAUCCGGGCGGGGAGCGGAGAGCGGUUCGCAAAAGCCAGUUGGUGCCCGGAUGCCGGCAUUGUCACGGGAUCGCGGCCAAAGGGGGUAGAAGACAGCGCAACAGUCGCUCUUCUUGCAUGAAGCUAUAUGCAUCUAGUGUGACGGAUUAUCCUACCUGGAGACUGUCUUUUUCAGCUCGGCAUCACGGGGGCGGGGGCGGUGACCCCCAUCCGGGCUCCCCGGGGGCGGUGACCCCCAUCCCGGCUCCCCGGGGGCGGUGACCCCCAUCCCGGCUCCCCGGCCUUCUCUCCUCCGCCCGCUCCUGCCUCCCUUCUGCUUACUCCUCUCCUGGUCAACAGGUCAGCUCGGGGUCCUGCUUCCAACCUCCUCCUCCUAGUUGAAGCCGGUUCUCAGGAGAGAACCUGCCAUCCGCAGCUUUACACCUCGGCAGGAAUGUAAAUCACUCUUCUCCCGUCCCAGGAAGCCUUUCCAGUGUUCUGAUUCCAGAAAGCAGGUGUGUGUGGCCGGUUCAAGGAAUUUCAAGCAUCAGCAGGCAGAGGAAAGUACCAGAGUGGAAGGCAGCCCACAGGGUGUCGAAAUCAAGCCACCCAGGGAGCCCGCAGAUCCCACCCUCUCCGGUGAGAGAGUUUGGUGGGGAGCACUUCAUCCAAUGCAGGGAACAGCGUUACUG